rnacentral:rRNA from 1 species
AUACGGGGGGAGCGAGCGUUGUUCGGAUUUACUGGGCGUAAAGGGCGCGUAGGUGGGUCUUCAAGUCGAAUGUGAAAACCGGCGGCUUAACCGUCGGCCUGCAUUUGAUACUGUCGAUCUUGAGUACGGGAGAGGAAAGCGGAAUUCCUGGUGUAGCGGUGAAAUGCGUAGAUAUCAGGAGGAACACCGGUGGCGAAGGCGGCUUUCUGGCCCGAUACUGACACUGAGGCGCGAAGGCCGGGGAGC